CCUUUCAUGAUUUAAAUUUGACUUUCGUUCUUCUGAGAUAUCUGAAGCAACUGUCUCUAUCUGAUGAGG